CUCCUCGGAAGGGCCGCGGGCGGGGCGGCCGCGGGGGCUGCCGGGGGCGCGCCGACUGCGCCUGCGCCGGCCACCGCGCCGCUCUGGUUGGGGUAGGGGGCGCUUCAGGGAGCUGCCGAGGGAACUCGGGGCGGCGGUCACAGGCGGCUACGUCGGCCCUCGGUGGGCCCUAGCGGGCAGGUGUGCGCCCGGCGCUCUCCUGAAGACAAGCGCCGCCUGCCUCCCGCUUCUCUGCGGAGGCUCCAGGAGGGCCUGCCCAGCCAGCAGGACCUUCGCCGGUCCGACCCCGCCCCCCGCGUCUCGGCCAAUGGGAGCGCGGGCCCUCCCGGAGCAGCCAAUGGAGGGCGCGCUCGGCGCAGCGGGCGGGACAUCCGGGCUGGCCGCACCUGGAUCGCCCCGCCCUACUGCCGGAGGCCGGGCAGGUCCCUGUCCACCUUUGCUAACGGCCCCUACUCAGCGCUCCCCGUUGCCCACCAAUGGCUACUUCAGGGGUCCCUGGGGCCCCCAGUACGGUCUUAGGGAAACGCGGCCGAUGGUUUUCACGUUUGCGGGUGUGUAGGGAGGUGCCGCAGGCGCUCCCCGGUUACCGCAGGGCGGAGUCCCGGUAAGCCCUCGCUGGAGUCAGAGAGGUGCGAAGCACAGCGCGCAGGACAGGCCUUGGACCCGCAGUGCUGGAGGGCCGCGUGGCACAGGAGACGGGAUGUGGGCAGCUCCAGGAGCCAAGACCAGCCCCAGCUGAGAGCCGGCAAGGAGACAGCAACCAAAAGGAACUUAAUCCAGACAACGACCUGGAAGGAGGACCUGGAUCUCGGAAGGAGAUUCACUGCAACAGCCCUGCUGACGCCUGGAUUCCAUCCUCCUGUGACUCGAGGCAGAGGACCGGCUGAGCAAACUGCCCAGAUGUCCAACCCACAGAACUGUGAGGUGAUAAACGGGUGGUGUCGUAAGCCAUUAAGACUGAGAUCUGUGAUGGCCGCAAAAGAAAUACAAGGUGUACGUGUGGAA